CCCGGACGGGUGAGUAACACGUGGGCAACCUGCCUGUAAGACUGGGAUAACUUCGGGAAACCGAAGCUAAUACCGGAUAGGAUCUUCUCCUUCAUGGGAGAUGAUUGAAAGAUGGUUUCGGCUAUCACUUACAGAUGGGCCCGCGGUGCAUUAGCUAGUUGGUGAGGUAACGGCUCACCAAGGCAACGAUGCAUAGCCGACCUGAGAGGGUGAUCGGCCACACUGGGACUGAGACACGGCCCAGACUCCUACGGGAGGCAGCAGUAGGGAAUCUUCCGCAAUGGACGAAAGUCUGACGGAGCAACGCCGCGUGAGUGAUGAAGGCUUUCGGGUCGUAAAACUCUGUUGUUAGGGAAGAACAAGUACAAGAGUAACUGCUUGUACCUUGACGGUACCUAACCAGAAAGCCACGGCUAACUACGUGCCAGCAGCCGCGGUAAUACGUAGGUGGCAAGCGUUAUCCGGAAUUAUUGGGCGUAAAGCGCGCGCAGGCGGUUUCUUAAGUCUGAUGUGAAAGCCCACGGCUCAACCGUGGAGGGUCAUUGGAAACUGGGGGAACUUGAGUGCAGAAGAGAAAAGCGGAAUUCCACGUGUAGCGGUGAAAUGCGUAGAGAUGUGGAGGAACACCAGUGGCGAAGGCGGCUUUUUGGUCUGUAACUGACGCUGAGGCGCGAAAGCGU
rnacentral:rRNA from 2 species